UAGAGAAUUUGUAGAUGUCUC
rnacentral:piRNA from 1 species